rnacentral:rRNA from 1 species
GGCGGCAUGGAUUAGGCAUGCAAGUCGCACGAGAACCCAAUUAGCUUGCUAUGAGGGGGACAGUGGCGUAAGGGAGAGUAACGCGUGGUUAUGUACCUUCGAGACCGGGAUAGUGUCGGGAAACUGGCAGUAAUACCGGAUAACAUCUUCGGAUCAAAUGGUGUGAUUCCGCUCGAAGAUCGGACCGCGUACUAUUAGCUUGUUGGCGGGGUAAUGGCCCACCAAGGCUGCGAUGGUUACCGGGUGUGAGAGCAUGGCCCGGCUCACUGGGACUGAGACACUGCCCAGACACCUACGGGUGGCUGCAGUCGAGAAUCUUCGGCAAUGGACGAAAGUCUGACCGAGCGAUGCCGCGUGCGGGAUGAAGGCCCUCGGGUUGUAAACCGCUGUCAGUAGUUAGGAAAUGCAUGGGGGUUCUCCCUCAUGUUUGACCGAUCUUCAGAGGAAGGACGGGCUAAGUUCGUGCCAGCAGCCGCGGUAAGACGAACCGUCCGAACGUUAUUCGGUAUCACUGGGCUUAAAGCGUGCGUAGGCGGCUUGGUAGGUGAGAUGUGAAAGCCCACGGCUCAACCGUGGAAUUGCGUUUCAAACCCCCAAGCUCGAGGAAGAUAGGGGUGAUGGGAACUUAUGGUGGAGCGGUGAAAUGCGUUGAUAUCAUAGGGAACACCGGUGGCGAAAGCGCAUCACUGGAUCUUUUCUGACGCCGAGGCACGAAAGCUAGGGUAGCGAACGGGAUUAGAUACCCCGGUAGUCCUAGCCGUAAACGAUGAACACUGGGUUGGGGGGACUUCCACAUCCUCCCGGCCGUAGCGAAAGCGUUAAGUGUUCCGCCUGGGGAGUAUGGUCGCAAGGCAA